GCGGGAAUAGCUCAGUUGGUAGAGCGCAACCUUGCCAAGGUUGAGGUCGCGGGUUCGAACCCCGUUUCCCGCUCCA
rnacentral:tRNA from 1 species